GCGUAGGUGAUGGACAACAGGUUGAUAUUCCUGUACUACCGAUAACCGUUUGAGAGAAGGGAUGACACAGUAGGAUAAGCUAAGCACACUGUUGGUUAUGUGUGCCCAAGCAUUGAGGCAGUCAAAGUAGGCAAAUCCGCUUUGAUAAUGCUGGGAUGUGAUGGGGAGCGAAAGUUAGUAGCGAAGUAGCUGAUUUCACACUGUCAAGAAAAGGCUCUAUCGAGGUUAAAGGUACCCGUACCGCAAACCGACACAGGUGGGUGAGGAGAGUAUCCUAAGGCCAGCGAGAGAACUGUUGUUAAGGAACUCGGCAAAAUGACCCCGUAACUUAGGGAUAAGGGGUGCCACCAUCAGGUGGCCGCAGAGAAUAGGCCCAAGCGACUGUUUACCAAAAACAUAGGUUUCUGCUAAGUCGCAAGACGAUGUAUAGGAGCUGACGCCUGCCCGGUGCUGGAAGGUUAAGGGGAUCUGUUAGAGCAA
rnacentral:rRNA from 1 species